AUUGAACGCUGGCGGCAGGCCUAACACAUGCAAGUCGAACGGUAACAGGAAGAAGCUUGCUUCUUUGCUGACGAGUGGCGGACGGGUGAGUAAUGUCUGGGAAACUGCCUGAUGGAGGGGGAUAACUACUGGAAACGGUAGCUAAUACCGCAUAAUGUCGCAAGGCCAAAGAGGGGGACCUUCGGGCCUCUUGCCAUCGGAUGUGCCCAGAUGGGAUUAGCUAGUAGGGGGGGUAACGGCUCACCUAGGCGACGAUCCCUAGCUGGUCUGAGAGGAUGACCAGCCACACUGGAACUGAGACACGGUCCAGACUCCUACGGGAGGCAGCAGUGGGGAAUAUUGCACAAUGGGCGCAAGCCUGAUGCAGCUAUGCCGCGUGUAUGAAGAAGGCCUUCGGGUUGUAAAGUACUUUCAGCGGGGAGGAAGGGAGUAAAGUUAAUACCUUUGCUCAUUGACGUUACCCGCAGAAGAAGCACCGGCUAACUCCGUG
rnacentral:rRNA from 1 species